rnacentral:pre_miRNA from 1 species
UCUUCAUUCCACAUACUCUCUCGCCACUCGGUUGGUCGAGAGAGAGUGUGUGAAAUGAAGAGA